GAUGAACGCUGGCGGCGUGCCUAAUACAUGCAAGUCGAGCGAACAGACGAGGAGCUUGCUCCUCUGACGUUAGCGGCGGACGGGUGAGUAACACGUGGAUAACCUACCUAUAAGACUGGGAUAACUUCGGGAAACCGGAGCUAAUACCGGAUAAUAUAUUGAACCGCAUGGUUCAAUAGUGAAAGACGGUUUUGCUGUCACUUAUAGAUGGAUCCGCACCGCAUUAGCUAGUUGGUAAGGUAACGGCUUACCAAGGCAACGAUGCGUAGCCGACCUGAGCGGGUAAUCGGCCACACUGGAACUGAGACACGGUCCAGACUCCUACGGGAGGCAGCAGUAGGGAAUCUUCCGCAAUGGGCGAAAGCCUGACGGAGCAACGCCGCGUGAGUGAUGAAGGUCUUCGGAUCGUAAAACUCUGUUAUUAGGGAAGAACAAAUGUGUAAGUAACUAUGCACGUCUUGACGGUACCUAAUCAGAAAGCCACGGCUAACUACGUG
rnacentral:rRNA from 1 species